UCCUCCUUAGCUCAGUUGGUAGAGCGCGUCACUCGCAUUGGAUAUGCGUUUCGGUAUUGAUUGUUAUAUAAUGACGAGGCAGUCGUUCAAGUCGACUAGAAGGAA